GUUUCUGGCCCUGCCAGUGUCUCCGCCGGUUGAAAGCGCGUGUCUGCGUCGGGUUCUGUUGGAGUGCGUUCGGUGCGCCGUGGGUCCGCGCUGCUUCCACCCAACUUCCUGUUAGUUUCUCUCCUGUCACAAUGGCAUGAUCUCGGCUCACUGCGACCUCUGCUUCCUGGGUUCAAGGAUUCUCCUGCCUCAGCCUCCCAAGUAGCUGGGAUUACAGGAAUCUCACCAGUGACACGCGUUUGUGAAAAGCUGUGAAUAUUCAGUGCCACAGGGUUAAACCUCGGUACAGAAGCGAGACCCUGCUGGGCAGAGAAAGGGUGACCUGGAAGGUGUGUGAGGGCCCCGCCCAUGGGCCCCUGUGAUGGUCAUGGCCUCAAGAAUCACAGUCCAGGUGAGGCCCUGAAUAUCCACAGCCAGGACCAGUUCCCUCUGCUCUUGGGUGCCAAGGCCACCGUCAGCCAGGAGAGGCCUGCAGAAUCAGCCUGUGCACCUCUCUGACGAUAAGCAGAGAUGCUGGUUUAGAGACUUGCUACUCACGGGGAAGUCCUUGGGCCUCCUGUACUCACAUUACCUGGAACUUCUUGGAAAUUCAGAAUCUCAGGCCCCAACCCAGACGGACUGAAUCAAAAUCUUCAUUGUGGUAAGACCCUCGGUGACACACAGGCCUGGGAAGCACAGGUUAGCGUGUCACCUUGGGCAAAGCUCUCAGCAUUGUGAGCCUCUGUUUUCUACUCUGUAAAGGAGGCAUGAAUAUCUACAACAUCAGUUUGCCAUGAGUAUUGAAAAAUAAUGUCUUAGAAGCACAGGGCAGAGCCUGGCAUGUAGUUUGUGCUCAGUGCACAGCAGACAAGAAACCACAUGCACCAGACCUGGGCGGCCGUCGGCAGCCCACCCUGAGCAACCAUGGGUGGCCCUCUUGUCUCUCGGGACAAGAAAUGCUUCUUUAGAAAUGCUUCUUUCCUUUCUAAAAUGAAAGUUUUGGACAGUAUUUCCUUUCAUUUAAAAAUUUCAUCUGUGUAUUUGAUGGCCUCUGUUGUUUCUUUCCUGAAACUCCUGCUAACAUACUGGGAGCUGAAGAAGGGCUCCGUGAAGGCGAGUAGGGGUGCCUGUCCCUCCCAGGGAGGAGCUUCCCUCCUCUCACCUGCUGCACGAGCCCUAGUGCUUCACCAACUCCAGCCUCAGUGCCCUGACACUGGGGGAGGGAAAGGAAGCGCACGCACCAGCCGUUCCACCCACCGAAGUUGUUUGGUCCCAAUCUGCAAAAUCAGUUAAACGUCUUCCUGCCUGGCAGCAGAUCAAAGGGUGAGGGGUCUGGGACAGACAGAGACGGCUAGAGAAUGGAUGGUGAAGUGCUCAGAGGCCCUGUGGGCUAUCCCACACUCGGCGGAAGACAGCAACACCAUCAAAUCUCCACCCUUUGUUAUCCAUGACUUAAAGAAAAGUGAACAGGGAGGUGGACAACUGUGCAAAGACUGGCUGGAGUCAAAUCCUGGGCAUAGGUGAAGCAUCGAGAAUGCUUGUCACACGUUUGAAUGUGCAGGGGGACUCUGACUGGAAGCUCCUAGCAGAGGCUGAAGACACUGGUUAGGUCCUGGUGCGUGCCUUGGGAUGCAUCCCAGGCAACGGGCCCAGGAGCUUGAGGUCAUGUCCACCUGGCUCACCAGGGAGUCCUGCACCAUUCUUCAAACCUAACUGGAAGAGACACUGAUCCUUCCUCCCACCUAAGGGCUCCCAGAGCCACAGGUCUCCGACUCUCCUGCAACACCUCCUGCUGCCUGUUCCCACCGCCCAUGAUUCACUCAGUCACCAUCCUCAGCAGCACCCGACAGCCUCUGUGUGUCUGUGUCACUCACCAUUACCAGCCCCCUGGGUGCCCAAUGCAUGUAUGUUAGACAGAACAAAUGCACGGCGGCCUUCAGCAGCACCGACCGCGUCAACCCCUCUGUGCUCACACCAGGAGUGAUCAGCGCACACGCCCUCCCACAGGAUGGGAGAAGGUGAUAACAGCUGAGCUGGGUGUCCAGAAGCCAGCCCCACCCCACAGCCACUACUGAGAGGUUAUGAGAUCAUGGCCUUAUCCCGAGUAAUGCUGCUGCAGUGAACUGGGACUUUUUUCCUCUGAAUUCAAAGGUGGGGCAGUCUAGGCACCUGGAUGCACCAUCUGCUCUGUCCCGGCCUGGUGGCUGCUCACUGUGGGAUGCUGUGCAAUUAGACAGUUACUAUCUUUCCCUGGUUGACGGAUUAGAGUUUCCCUUUUCUGAGCAUCUUGUUUUGAAGUGAUCCGAAGUGUUUAGGGUUAAAGAGCGUGAUUUUCCCAAACUGUCCAAAGAAAUAGAAGCAGGUCUGCAAGAGGGGGGUGCCCAGAGCCUUGAGAUGGAAGCGAGAUGGGGUGAGACCUGGGGAGCUCUCCAGGCCGCCGGGAAGCUGCACGUCAUCCUCUGGACCUCUUUGCUGACUGUGUGCUGUCACCACAGCAGCCGCCUUCUCUCAUCUGUAAACAGGAUUUUACGUAAAUUUCCAUACACUUGGUUGUUGACAAUUAAGUAGAUUGUUUUUAAAGAUACUUGAAAUGAUAUCAGAAUUUCCUAAAUAUAUCAUUAAAACAGGAAACUUAGUUACCUACUCACUCGAAUCACUAGAGAAUACCAAAUAGGAAUAGGAAGAUAACACACUGGUAAGAAAAAUGUCCAAGGCCAAUCACAGGAGUCAAAGCUCGUGAUCAAAUCAGCUCUGCCUGGGGAGGCCGUGCUCAUGGCACCAUUUAGUGACAAGUGGGUGACUCUGGGGCAAGUUCCAGGGGUGUCACCCCCAAGGCAGCAGCUCAGGUGCAGCCACCAUGGAGGCAGUUUCACUGAGGGGCCCUCUGAGGCCCCUACUCUGAGAUUCUAAGACAGGGUUUGAAGAAUGUUCCAGCAUUUGAACACAUGAACCCUAUGAUGUCCUGCUGUGAGAGAGAACAAUGUCCCAAUUUUGCCCAGUUUCCAUCAUUAUCUUCUAUGGAGUUCUUCAUUCCCACAUCUGUGGACCUUAAAAUCCUACCGUUGAGUGCCUGCCUUGGAUCAGCAGUCAGUUCGUUACCUUGGUUCUCAGACGAUGCUUGCAACAACGCCAUGCGAUUCGCCCACUCUUGGAGAAAAUAAGAGAAGUAUCCCUGAAGGAUGAAAUAUCCUCGAAUAUGAAAAGGUCUGCUCUCUGAAGACCAACUGUCUCAGUCUGCUUUUUGCUGCUGUAACAGAAUACCACAGACUUGGUUACAUUAGUUAUACACUCUGGAGGUGACUUGACCUGUCAUUGUGAACAAUUAUUGCUCUUGGACGACCCAGGACAUAGGCCAGCCAGUACGUACCCCAGUGUGUUGGAGAAUCGCGCUCGGCUUCUUCCUCUGUGCUGAGUCAUGAAAGUUGCCGGAGCAGGUGCAGUUACACAACCUCCAGGUAUGAUCCUGUUUAAGGACUGGAUUUAGGAUAACUACUUAGAGGUUAAAAGUCACAAGGGUGUAUGGAUGAGGCUGGAGUGAUCUGGGACCAAAGACAUCUAGGCUUGCUGUCAAGGCUUCUGAUCAACAUGAGAUGACCGCCGUGUGGUAAACUGAUGAACCCUGACCCUGAUCAACAUGAGAUGACCGCCGUGUGGUAAACUGAUGAACCCCGACCCUGAUGAACGUGAGAUGACCGCCGUGUGGUAAACUGAUGAACCCCGACCCUGAUGAACGUGAGAUGACCGCCGUGUGGUAAACUGAUGAACCCCGACCCUGAUGAACGUGAGAUGACCGCCGUGUGGUAAACUGAUGAACCCCGACCCUGAUGAACGUGAGAUGACCGCCGUGUGGUAAACUGAUGAACCCCGACCCUGAUCAACGUGAGAUGACCGCCGUGUGGUAAACUGAUGAACCCCGACCCUGAUGAACAUGAGAUGACCGCCGUGUGGUAAACUGAUGAACCCCGACCCUGAUCAACAUGAGAUGACCGCCGUGUGGUAAACUGAUGAACCCCGACCCUGAUCAACAUGAGAUGACUGCCGUGUGGUAAACUGAUGAACCCUGACCCAUUAGGCUUUGGCUACAGAAUGUGGAAAUAAGUUGUGUUACUACAUGUGUGUAAUCCUAGGGUGCAGGACACCGGCCGGGAGGUUCCAUAGAGUGAUGGGUUCUGCAGGUAACUCAUCCUCUAGUCCUCUGUAAGCUCCUAGAAGGAAGAAAUUAUGUCCUUUAGACUAAUAAAAUUCCUCCAAACCAAAUACAGCACCUACUGUGAAGACACAAAGAUACUUUUAGAAUAGUAAAAACUUUAUCCAUUGAGAAAUUCCUUAAUGAAACAGUAUCCAAGAAGUCAUUUGCCAGCAGAUUUCUUAGAGGUGCGAUAAAGAAGAGGACAUUGCCAGUCGUCACAGCAGCUGCAAUAGCUCCUCUCUAUUGUUAAACAGUGGGAUAUCUUGUGCAGGUUUUCAGUUGACAAUCAAUUUUAAAGAUUAGUUUCGGUCCCCAUCAAUCAAUUAUUUAUUAACCCAUCAAUAAAAAUUUAAAUGCUCUGUGAGGUACAAUAGCUAUUAAAAGAGACAGAGGCACUUUCUGUGUCCAGAGGGGCUUUUAGUCUGCUCUGGAAAGCAAGAUGCGUGCAGAUGAGUGACGCAGUGCAUCGUGUGGAUGCAAAGGGAGGGACUCACAUGGGAACCAGAGGAGCUACGAAGGGAGGCAGUGGGGACUGGUGGGUCGAGACCUGGAAAUAACACAUGAAUAGGCAACAAAGGUUUCCUUUCCUCUUCCAUGCACUUCAGUCCUUGAAAAACGUCUUACCACGGAAUUCCACAGCGUACCAAGCGAUUCCACAGCUUGAUGGCACACUCUCCUUUCUCAGCAUUCUUGAAAAUGGCGUGUGAGCCAAGCCAUCUUACUGAGAAAUUACCUUAAACCAUUUGAUGAACCAAAAAUAUUUUGUAAUACCCAUCUCCGACAUUAGGUAGGCAAAUCACACAGAAACACCGAGGUCUUCUGAGUCAUAUUUAUCUGAAAAAUCACAGCUUGGGUGCAUGUGAAGCCAGAGGAGCACUCCUGGGGCCUGCGGUGCCAUCACUCAGCUCCCCUGGGCUUCACAUGGCCAUGGAGCACCCAGCAAGUGUAGGCUCUGAGCCUUCAGGGAGGGGCGGCAUCAGCCAGCACCAUCGUCUCCUGGGUCUUGUGCCUCUUCCUUGGUUGCGGUGUUGUCAGGGCCAGAAUUGGGCAAUUCCGGGUGACAUCCAGGUGUGGCUGCUGACACGGAGCACAGGUGAGGUUCACUGAGGACACCCUGCUCCUGUGGUUUGCAGCCCCGGCCUUCUCUUCGAGGACGCCUCUGCUCUUCUGCCUCACACUCGGAUUGGACCUUCUUCAGCACAGCCAGUGGCCGAGGCUUCCUCCCUGGGGCUCAGUGGAGCAGGACAGAUGCUGCAUCCAAACUCUUCCAUUGGGUUCCAGUCUGUUCCAGUCAUGCCCUUGAGCCUCUAAAGCUCCUAGGUGAGAGACGUAGCAGCUGACAGCACUUCCCACUUGAUUUGGGUGGACUCCAGCCUCCCCAGCAACAAUAAGAGAUCAAAAGCAUCGUUGAGGAAGCAGCUUGCUGAAACGCUGAGUGCCCGCCACUCUCAGGUCAGGUGGGACCGGCAGGCCAGCAUGAGUUCCUGAACACUUGGUUCUCAAUACUGGCCACAGCCACACUGUAAGGGGAAACAAGAGGGCACUGUAUGCAAACAUCUCUUGAACUCUGGAGUCUGCUCACCUUCCUGCCUCAAGCCCCUCUCCCACGUGGUCCAGUCACCAUUCUCCACAGAGACUACCCUAAAACCCAGCGACUCUCGUGUGCCUGCAGAAUGGCACAGCCCGUUCUCAUAGCAGCACUCCUGUUUAAUCAGAGGGAUGUUAACGACCAAGUCAUAUUUGCUCGAUUUGUGUUCAACAUAUUUCAUUUGUACCGAUAAAACUUAAAAAUAUCCCCACACAUGCAUUGCCUAUUAAAGAGUAUCUUCCAGGUACACCUCCCUUACACAUCAGUUAACUUGAUAAUUUCUUCCCAUUCUUGUGCAAUAAAUUUCCUUCCUGAUCAGCUCUGUCCAGCAGCAACAAUAAUCCACGUAGAGACAUGCAAACUAAAAGUCCGUUAGUGGAGGCACGAAGCUGAUGAGGCUUGGAAAAAAAUGACCGAUUUGAUUAAAAUUAGGACCCAUGGGAGUGGAGCUCUGCCUAUUUUAGAGGCAAAGUAAAUGCCUGGGAGUCCAAUCACCGACAUUCUGUUUGAGGUUUCUAAUCACAAGGAAGAUGGAGAAAAUGCAGAACAAGUGGUCAAGAACAGGGAGAUAAUAAAUAGAAUAUUUAUGGGCUGAGGAAAACAAUUACCAGGGGAAAGCCCAAGAAGCAAAGAUGAACAGAGAACGUGCUGACUGCGCUCGUUUGGAAAGGCCUCAUGGCCAAAGGAGGAGAGGCAUUAUGAGGAGCAGUGACCGAGUGGGCAGGACCCCCGGGGAUCAGGAAAGGUGCACGGGGGGAAAUGAGAGGCCUGAGCGGCUUCCCAGCGAAGGUUUUUGAAGCACGGUUUGAUUUUCUCUCUCCCCCUCACCAUCCCCA
rnacentral:lncRNA from 1 species